UACAGAGGGGGCAAGCGUUGUUCGGAAUUACUGGGCGUAAAGGGCGCGUAGGCGGCCUUCUAAGUCGAACGUGAAAUCCCCGGGCUCAACCCGGGAACUGCGUCCGAUACUGGAAGGCUUGAAUCCGGGAGAGGGAUGUGGAAUUCCCGGUGUAGCAGUGAAAUGCGUAGAGAUCGGGAGGAACAUCAGUUGCGAAGGCGGCUCUCUGGACCAGCACUGACACUGAGGCACGAAAGCGUGGGGAGCAAACAGG
rnacentral:rRNA from 1 species